rnacentral:rRNA from 1 species
UACGUAGGUGGCAAGCGUUGUCCGGAAUUAUUGGGCGUAAAGCGCGCGCAGGUGGUUUCUUAAGUCUGAUGUGAAAGCCCACGGCUCAACCGUGGAGGGUCAUUGGAAACUGGGGAACUUGAGUGCAGAGGAGGAAAGUGGAAUUCCAAGUGUAGCGGUGAAAUGCGUAGAGAUUUGGAGGAACACCAGUGGCGAAGGCGACUUUCUGGUCUGUAACUGACACUGAGGCGCGAAAGCGUGGGGAGCGAACAGG